rnacentral:sRNA from 1 species
UAAAGACUUAACAUCGUAUUCUGUGGC